rnacentral:rRNA from 1 species
GACGAACGCCGACAGAAUGCUUAACACAUGCAAGUCAACUGUGGCGGACGGGUGAGUAACGCGUAAAGAACUUGCCUCGCAGAUAGGGACAACAUUUGGGAACGAAUGCUAAUACCUGAUACUGUUAGAGAGCUUUGCGUCCCAUUAGCUAGUUGGAGAGGUAACGGCUCACCAAGGCGAUGAUGGGUAGCCGGCCUGAGAGGGUGAUCGGCCACAAGGGGACUGGGACACGGCCCUUACUCAUACGGGAGGCAGCAGUGGGGAAUAUUGGACAACGGACCAAAGUCUGAUCCAGCAAUUCUGUGUGCAAGAUAAAGUUGUCGGAAUGUAAAGUGCUUUCAGUUGGGAAGCAGUACCAACAGAAGAAGCGACGGCUAAAUACGUGCCAGCAGCCGCGGUAAUAC